rnacentral:rRNA from 1 species
GAUGAACGCUGGCGGCGUGCCUAAUACAUGCAAGUCGAGCGAACAGACGAGGAGCUUGCUCCUCUGACGUUAGCGGCGGACGGGUGAGUAACACGUGGAUAACCUACCUAUAAGACUGGGAUAACUUCGGGAAACCGGAGCUAAUACCGGAUAAUAUAUUGAACCGCAUGGUUCAAUAGUGAAAGACGGUUUUGCUGUCACUUAUAGAUGGAUCCGCGCCGCAUUAGCUAGUUGGUAAGGUAACGGCUUACCACGGCAACGAUGCGUAGCCGACCUGAGAGGGUGAUCGGCCACACUGGAACUGAGACACGGUCCAGACUCCUACGGGAGGCAGCAGUAGGGAAUCUGCCGCAAUGGGCGAAAGCCUGACGGAGCAACGCCGCGUGAGUGAUGAAGGUCUUCGGAUCGUAAAACUCUGUUAUUAGGGAAGAACAAAUGUGUAAGUAACUAUGCACGUCUUGACGGUACCUAAUCAGAAAGCCACGGCUAACUACGUG